rnacentral:misc_RNA from 1 species
GUAUUUUGAAUUGUUUAUUCAUAAUAUUUUUCAGACAAAGAGUUAAAAAAUAUAGGUUGAUAUUUAUGAAGGGAAAGAAAAGACUUUCCCAACAAACAUUGCACACAAGGUGGAUAUGGAUUUUUAAAGAGUGCCAUAAAACACUCGUUUGUGAAUGAUCCUUCCGCAGGUUCACCUACGGAAA